GAAGAGUGAAGAAUUUAGCUAAGGGCCUUGACCCUUGUGCUGGCACUGUGUGAGUGCUCUCUAAGUAGGCGUGUCAUCCUGGGUCCUGAACCCAGGGCCAGGGUGGGCAGGGCUUUCUGCCACACUGCUUGGGACUCAGAUCCAGGUACUGUAUGAUGUCUUGGUAUAUGAAUAGCUUGUAAAAGUUAAAUCUCUUCCCUCUGCUCACCGGGACCCAUUUCUACAGCAAGACCUGGGAGCCAAGUGCUGGAGGAAGAGUGAAUGACUGUCCCUCUGGGAUUGGAAGUAGAGCAGAAGUUGUGCUGUUUCAAUGAACACGACAUGGAAAGGCUGACUGAGGGAAGUGAGCAGAGACUCCC